rnacentral:rRNA from 1 species
AGAGUUUGAUUCUGGCUCAGAACGAACGCUGGCGGCGUGGAUAAGACAUGCAAGUCGAACGAGAGAAUUGCUAGCUUGCUAAUAAUUCUCUAGUGGCGCACGGGUGAGUAACACGUGAGUAACCUGCCCCCGAGAGCGGGAUAGCCCUGGGAAACUGGGAUUAAUACCGCAUAGAAUCGCAAGAUUAAAGCAGCAAUGCGCUUGGGGAUGGGCUCGCGGCCUAUUAGUUAGUUGGUGAGGUAACGGCUCACCAAGGCGAUGACGGGUAGCCGGUCUGAGAGGAUGUCCGGCCACACUGGAACUGAGACACGGUCCAGACACCUACGGGUGGCAGCAGUCGAGAAUCAUUCACAAUGGGGGAAACCCUGAUGGUGCGACGCCGCGUGGGGGAAUGAAGGUCUUCGGAUUGUAAACCCCUGUCAUGUGGGAGCAAAUUAAAAAGAUAGUACCACAAGAGGAAGAGACGGCUAACUCUGUGCCAGCAGCCGCGGUAAUACAGAGGUCUCAAGCGUUGUUCGGAAUCACUGGGCGUAAAGCGUGCGUAGGCUGUUUCGUAAGUCGUGUGUGAAAGGCGCGGGCUCAACCCGCGGACGGCACAUGAUACUGCGAGACUAGAGUAAUGGAGGGGGAACCGGAAUUCUCGGUGUAGCAGUGAAAUGCGUAGAUAUCGAGAGGAACACUCGUGGCGAAGGCGGGUUCCUGGACAUUAACUGACGCUGAGGCACGAAGGCCAGGGGAGCGAAAGGGAUUAGAUACCCCUGUAGUCCUGGCAGUAAACGGUGCACGCUUGGUGUGCGGGGAAUCGACCCCCUGCGUGCCGGAGCUAACGCGUUAAGCGUGCCGCCUGGGGAGUACGGUCGCAAGAUUAAAACUCAAAGAAAUUGACGGGGACCCGCACAAGCGGUGGAGUAUGUGGCUUAAUUCGAUGCAACGCGAAGAACCUUACCUGGGCUUGACAUGUUCCCGACGGUCGUAGAGAUGCGGCUUCCCUUCGGGGCGGGUUCACAGGUGGUGCAUGGUCGUCGUCAGCUCGUGUCGUGAGAUGUUGGGUUAAGUCCCGCAACGAGCGCAACCCU